AUUGAACGCUGGCGGCAGGCCUAACACAUGCAAGUCGAACGAGUGGCGGACGGGUGAGUAAUGUCUGGGAAACUGCCUGAUGGAGGGGGAUAACUACUGGAAACGGUAGCUAAUACCGCAUACCAUCAGAUGUGCCCAGAUGGGAUUAGCUAGUUGGUGGGGUAACGGCUCACCCAGGCGACGAUCCCUAGCUGGUCUGAGAGGAUGACCAGGCAAACGGGAACUGAGACACGGGCCAGACUCCUACGGGAGGGAGCAGUGGGGAAUUUUGCAAAAUUGGCGGAAGCCUGAUGCAGGCAUGCCGCGGGGAUGAAGAAGGCCGUCGGGUUGUAAAGUACUUUCAGCGGGGAGGCGUUACCCGCAGAAGAAGCACCGGCUAACUCCGUGCCAGCAGCCGCGGUUAAUUC
rnacentral:rRNA from 1 species